CCCUUAGAUGUACUGGGCAGCACGCGCGCUACAAUGGUCUUCGCAAACGGAUGCAUUCUCGAAGGAGAAUGCCAAUCUUGGAAUCUAUGCCUUGGUCGGGACAGUUGCUUGCAAUUUUUCGACUCGAACCAGGAAUUCCUUGUAAUCGUGAUUCAUCACAUCACGAUGAAUACGUCCCUGCCCUUUGUACACACCGCCCGUCGCUCCUACCGAUCGAAGAGUUAGGUGAAUUGUUUUGAUCGAUAAGAUUUGACUAUGGUCAACUCUCGUUGUGAAAUUCUGUGAAUCUGACUGUUUAGAGGAAGGAAAAGUCGUAACA
rnacentral:rRNA from 1 species